rnacentral:rRNA from 1 species
GACAGAGGCCUCGAGCGUUAGACGGAAUCACUGGGCUUAAAGCGUGUGUAGGCGGGCCCGUAAGUGUCUUGUGAAAUCCCACGGCUCAACCGUGGAACUGCUGGGCAUACUGCGGGUCUUGGGCCAACUAGGGGCAGCCGGAACAAGCGGUGGAGCGGUGAAAUGCGUAGAUAUCGCUUGGAACGCCGAAGGUGAAAACAGGCUGCUGGGGUUGCGCCGACGCUGAGACACGAAAGCCAGGGGAGCAAACGGG